rnacentral:rRNA from 1 species
GAGUUUGAUCCUGGCUCAGGAUGAACGCUGGCGGCGUGCUUAACACAUGCAAGUCGAACGGACUCAUAUUGAAACCUAGUGAUUUAUGAGUUAGUGGCGGACGGGUGAGUAACGCGUGGAUAACCUGCCGUAUACCGGGGGAUAACACUUAGAAAUAGGUGCUAAUACCGCAUAAGCGCACGGCUCCGCAUGGGGCAGUGUGAAAAACUCCGGUGGUAUACGAUGGAUCCGCGUCUGAUUAGCUAGUUGGCGGGGUAACGGCCCACCAAGGCGACGAUCAGUAGCCGGACUGAGAGGUUGGCCGGCCACAUUGGGACUGAGACACGGCCCAGACUCCUACGGGAGGCAGCAGUGGGGAAUAUUGGGCAAUGGGCGCAAGCCUGACCCAGCAACGCCGCGUGAAGGAAGAAGGCUUUCGGGUUGUAAACUUCUUUUAUUCGGGACGAAGAAAGUGACGGUACCGAAUGAAUAAGCCACGGCUAACUACGUGCCAGCAGCCGCGGUAAUACGUAGGUGGCAAGCGUUAUCCGGAUUUAUUGGGUGUAAAGGGCGUGUAGGCGGGAAUGCAAGUCAGAUGUGAAAACUCAGGGCUCAACCCUGAGCCUGCAUUUGAAACUGUAUUUCUUGAGUGCUG